rnacentral:rRNA from 1 species
CUCGGAGUUUGAUCCUGGCUCAGAUUGAACGCUGGCGGAAUGCUUUACACAUGCAAGUCGAACGGUAGAGGGGGCAACCCCUCGAGAGUGGCGAACGGGUGAGUAAUAUAUCGGAACGUGCCCAGUCGUGGGGGAUAACGUAGUGAAAAUUACGCUAAUACCGCAUACGAUCUAAGGAUGAAAGCGGGGGACCGUAAGGCCUCGCGCGAUUAGAGCGGCCGAUAUCUGAUUAGCUUGUUGGUGGGGUAAAAGCCCACCAAGGCGACGAUCAGUAGCUGGUCUGAGAGGACGAUCAGCCACACUGGGACUGAGACACGGGCCCAGACUCCGUACGGGAGGCAGCAGUGGGGAAUUUUGGACAAUGGGGCGAAAGCCUGAUCCAGCAAUGCCCGCGUGAGUGAUG